AUUGAACGCUGGCGGCAUGCCUUACACACGCAAGUCGAACGGCAACAGGUUAAGCUGACGAGUGGCGAACGGGUGAGUAAUACAUCGGAACGUGCCCAGUAGUGGGGGAUAGCCCGGCGAAAGCCGGAUUAAUACCGCAUACGACCUAAGGGUGAAAGGGGGGGAUCGCAAGACCUCUCGCUAUUGGAGCGGCCGAUGUCAGAUUAGCUAGUUGGUGGGGUAAAAGCUCACCAAGGCGACGAUCUGUAGCUGGUCUGAGAGGACGACCAGCCACACUGGGACUGAGACACGGCCCAGACUCCUACGGGAGGCAGCAGUGGGGAAUUUUGGACAAUGGGCGCAAGCCUGAUCCAGCCAUGCCGCGUGCGGGAAGAAGGCCUUCGGGUUGUAAACCGCUUUUGUCAGGGAAGAAAUCCUUUGGGUUAAUACCUCGGGGGGAUGACGGUACCUGAAGAAUAAGCACCGGCUAACUACGUG
rnacentral:rRNA from 1 species